rnacentral:rRNA from 1 species
AUUGAACGCUGGCGGCAGGCCUAACACAUGCAAGUCGAACGAGUGGCGGACGGGUGAGUAAUGUCUGGGAAACUGCCCGAUGGAGGGGGAUAACUACUGGAAACGGUAGCUAAUACCGCAUACCAUCGGAUGUGCCCAGAUGGGAUUGGUUAGUGGUUGGGGUAACGCCUCACCUAGGCGACGAUCCCUAGCUGGUCUGUGAGGAUGACCAGCAACACGGGAACUGGGAAACGGUCCAGACUCCUACGGGAGGAAGCAGUGGGGAAUAUUGAAAAAGGGGCGCAAGCCGGAUGCAGCCAUGCCGGGGGUAUGAAGAAGGCCUUCGGGUUGUAAAGUACUUUCAGCGAGGAGGCGUUACUCGCAGAAGAAGCACCGGCUAACUCCGUGCCAGCAGCCGCGGUAAUAC